CAGGCCUAACACAUGCAAGUCGUGCGAGAAAGUAUCUUCGGAUAUGAGUAGAGCGGCGGACGGGUGAGUAACGCGUAGGAAUCUACCUAGUAGAAGGGGAUAGCCCGGGGAAACCCGGAUUAAUACCGUAUACCUCCUUCGGGAGAAAGAAGGCCUCUCUUUGAAGCUUUCGCUAUUAGAUGAGCCUGCGUAAGAUUAGCUUGUUGGUGAGGUAAAGGCUCACCAAGGCUACGAUCUUUAGCUGGUCUGAGAGGACGAUCAGCCACAUUGGGACUGAGACACGGCCCAGACUCCUACGGGAGGCAGCAGUGGGGAAUAUUGGACAAUGGGCGCAAGCCUGAUCCAGCCAUACCGCGUGUGUGAAGAAGGCCUUCGGGUUGUAAAGCACUUUAAGCAGGGAGAAAAAGUUAUAAGUUAAUACCUUAUAACCGUGAUGUUACCUGCAGAAUAAGCACCGGCUAAUUCCGUACCAGCAGCCGCGGUAAUACGGAAGGCGCAAGCGUUAAUCGGAAUUACUGGGCGUAAAGCGCGCGUAGGUGGUUUGUUAGGUUGGAUGUGAAAGCCCUGGGCUCAACCUAGGAACUGCAUCCAAAACUAACUCACUAGAGUACGAUAGAGGGAGGUAGAAUUCAUAGUGUAGCGGUGGAAU
rnacentral:rRNA from 1 species